AUACGUAGGGUGCAAGCGUUAAUCGGAAUUACUGGGCGUAAAGCGUACGUAGGCGUUCCGUUAAGUUAGAUGUGAAAGCCCCGGGCUUAACCUGGGAACUGCAUUUAAAACUGGCGGACUAGAGUUGAGUAGAGUGGAGUGGAAUUUCAGGUGUAGCGGUGAAAUGCGUAGAGAUCUGAAGGAACACCAGUGGCGAAGGCGACUCCCUGGACUCGAACUGACGCUGAGGUACGAAAGCGUGGGUAGCAAACGGGAUUAGAAACCCCUGUAGUCC
rnacentral:rRNA from 1 species